rnacentral:rRNA from 1 species
GAAGCUGGAAUCGCUAGUAAUCGCGGAUCAGAAUGCCGCGGUGAAUACGUUCCCGGGUCUUGUACACACCGCCCGUCACACCAUGGGAGUCGGAAAUGCCCGAAGUCUGUGACCCAACCGGAAGGAAGGAGCAGCCGAAGGCAGGUCUGAUGACUGGGGUGAAGUCGUAACAAGGUAAC